AUUAAAACGGGUGAGUAAUAUAUUAAGACAUGCUUUAUAGGGGGGGAUAGCUUGAUGAAAAUUAAAUUAAUACCGCAUGAAAAUAAUCUAAGGAUUAAAGCAGGGGAUUUGUUAUACAAACCUUGCGCUAUAAAAUUGAUUAAUAUCUGAUUAGUUAGUUGGUUGAGGUAAAAGCUCACCAAGACUAUGAUCGGUAACUGGUCUGAGAGGAUGAUCAGUCACACUGGGACUGAGAUACGGCCCAGACUCCUACGGGAGGCAGCAGUGGGGAAUUUUGGACAAUGAGCGCAAGCUUGAUCCAGCAAUGUCGCGUGUGCGAUGAAGGCUUUAAAAGUUGUAAAGCACUUUUUUUUAGGAAUAAAUAAAUUUAACUAAUAAUUAAAUAAAUGACUGUACUAAAAGAAUAAGUACCGGCUAAUUACGUGCCAGCAGCCGCGGUAAUACGUAAGGUGCUAGCGUUAAUCGGAAUUACUGGGCGUAAAGGGUGCGUAGGCUGUUUAAUAAGAUUUUUGUGAAAUCCCUGAGCUUAACUUAGGAACUGCAAAGAUAACUAUUAGACUUGGAGUAUAAUAUAAGGAGGGUAGAAUUUUAUAUGUAGCGGUGAAAUGCAUAGAUAUAUAAAGGAAUACCGAUAGCGAAGGCAGCCCUCUGGGUUAUUACUGACGUUGAUGCACGAAAGCGUGGGUAUCAAACA
rnacentral:rRNA from 1 species